AUGGCCUGGACCCCUCUCCUCAUGGGCCUCCUGGCUCACUGCACAGGCUCUGUGGUGUCCUACGAGCUGACUCAGCCACCCUCAGUGUCAGUGUCUCUGGGACAGACGGCCAGGAUGACGUGUCAGGGAGACAGCUUUGAUAAUGAAUAUGCUCAUUGGUACCAGCAGCAUCCAGACCAGGCCCCUGUGCUGGUCAUUUAUAAGGAUAGUACCCAGCCCUCAGGGAUCCCUGACUGGUUAUCUGGCUCCUGCUCUGGGAACACGGUCACCCUGACCAUCAGCGGGACUCAGACAGAUGACGAGGCUGACUAUUACUGUAUGGUGUGGUAUAGCAUCAAUGAUCCUCCACAGUGA